AUUGAACGCUGGCGGCAUGCCUUACACAUGCAAGUCGAACGGUAACAGGUCUUCGGAUGCUGACGAGUGGCGAACGAGUGAGUAAUACAUCGGAACGUGCCUAGUAGUGGGGGAUAACUACUCGAAAGAGUGGCUAACACCGCAUGAGAUCUAUGGAUGAAAGCAGGGGAUCGCAAGACCUUGUGCUACUAGAGCGGCCGAUGGCAGAUUAGGUAGUUGGUGGGAUAAAAGCUUACCAAGCCGACGAUCUGUAGCUGGUCUGAGAGGACGAUCAGCCACACUGGGACUGAGACACGGCCCAGACUCCUACGGGAGGCAGCAGUGGGGAAUUUUGGACAAUGGGCGCAAGCCUGAUCCAGCAAUGCCGCGUGCAGGAUGAAGGCCUUCGGGUUGUAAACUGCUUUUGUACGGAACGAAAAGCCCUGGGUUAAUACCCUGGGGUCAUGACGGUACCGUAAGAAUAAGCACCGGCUAACUCUGUGCCAGCCGCCGCCGUAACAC
rnacentral:rRNA from 1 species